AACGAACGCUGGCGGCAUGCCUAACACAUGCAAGUCGAACGAGAUCUUCGGGUCUAGUGGCGCACGGGUGCGUAACGCGUGGGUAUCUGCCCUUUGGUUCGGAAUAACAGUUGGAAACGACUGCUAAUACCGGAUGAUGACGAAAGUCCAAAGAUUUAUCGCCAGAGGAUGAGCCCGCGUAGGAUUAGCUAGUUGGUGUGGUAAAGGCGCACCAAGGCGACGAUCCUUAGCUGGUCUGAGAGGAUGAUCAGCCACACUGGGACUGAGACACGGCCCAGAUUCCUACGGGAGGCAGCAGUGGGGAAUAUUGGGCAAUGGGCGAAAGCCUGAUCCAGCAAUGCCGCGUGAGUGAUGAAGGCCUUAGGGUUGUAAAGCUCUUUUACCCGGGAUGAUAAUGACAGUACCGGGAGAAUAAGCUCCGGCUAACUCCGUGCCAGCAGCCGCCGUAA
rnacentral:rRNA from 1 species